rnacentral:snRNA from 1 species
AAAAUUUGGCAGGGGAGAUACCAUGAUCACGAAGGUGGUUUUCCCAGGGCGAGGCUUAUCCAUUGCACUCCGGAUGUGCUGACCUCUGCGAUUUCCCCAAAUGUGGGAAACUCGACUGCAUAAUUUGUGGUAGUGGGGGACUGCGUUCACACUCUCCCCUU